rnacentral:rRNA from 1 species
CAGUCGCCGCGGUAAUACGAAGGGUGCAAGCGUUACUCGGAAUUACUGGGCGUAAAGCGUGCGUAGGUGGUGGUUUAAGUCCGUUGUGAAAGCCCUGGGCUCAACCUGGGAAUUGCAGUGGAUACUGGGUCACUAGAGUGUGGUAGAGGAUAGUGGAAUCUCCGGUGUAGCAGUGAAAUGCGUAGAGAUCGGAAGGAACAUCUGUGGCGAAGUCGACUAUCUGGGCCAACACUGACACUGAGGCACGAAAGCGUGGGGAGCAAACAGGAUUAGAUACCCGAGUAGUCCCUGUCUCUUAUAC